rnacentral:rRNA from 1 species
CCUACGGGGCGCAGCAGUCGAGAAUUAUUCACAAUGGGGGAAACCCUGAUGGUGCGACGCCGCGUGGGGGAAUGAAGGUCUUCGGAUUGUAAACCCCUGUCAUGUGGGAGCAAAUUAAAAAGAUAGUACCACAAGAGGAAGAGACGGCUAACUCUGUGCCAGCAGCCGCGGUAAUACAGAGGUCUCAAGCGUUGUUCGGAAUCACUGGGCGUAAGGCGUGCGUAGGCUGUUUCGUAAGUCGUGUGUGAAAGGCGCGGGCUCAACCCGCGGACGACACAUGAUACUGCGAGACUAGAGUAAUGGAGGGGGAACCGGAAUUCUCGGUGUAGCAGUGAAAUGCGUAGAUAUCGAGAGGAACACUCGUGGCGAAGGCGGGUUCCUGGACAUUAACUGACGCUGAGGCACGAAGGCCAGGGGAGCGAAAGGGAUUAGAUACCCCUGUAGUC